CUGCUGCCUCCCGUAGGAGUUUGGGCCGUGUCUCAGUCCCAAUGUGGCCGGUCACCCUCUCAGGUCGGCUACUGAUCGUUGCCUUGGUGAGCCGUUACCUCUCCAACUAGCUAAUCAGACGCGGGUCCAUCUCAUACCACCUCAGUUUUUCACACCAAACCAUGCGGUUUUGUGCGCUUAUGCGGUAUUAGCAGUCAUUUCUAACUGUUAUCCCCCUGUAUGAGGCAGGUUACCUACGCGUUACUCACCCGUCCG
rnacentral:rRNA from 1 species